UCGGGUCUAGUGGCGCACGGGUGCGUAACGCGUGGGAAUCUGCCCUUGGGUUCGGAAUAACAGUGAGAAAUUGCUGCUAAUACCGGAUGAUGUCUUCGGACCAAAGAUUUAUCGCCCAGGGAUGAGCCCGCGUAGGAUUAGCUAGUUGGUGGGGUAAUGGCCUACCAAGGCGACGAUCUUUAGCUGGUCUGAGAGGAUGAUCAGCCACACUGGGACUGAGACACGGCCCAGGCUCCUACGGGAGGCAGCAGUGGGGAAUAUUGGACAAUGGGCGAAAGCCUGAUUCAGCAAUGCCGCGUGAGUGAUGAAGGCCUUAGGGUUGUAAAGCUCUUUUACCAGAGAUGAUAAUGACGGUACCUGGAGAAUAAGCCCCGGCUAACUCCGUGCCAGCAGCCGCGGUAAU
rnacentral:rRNA from 1 species